rnacentral:rRNA from 12 species
CCCAGCGGUCACACUGGAGUGUGAGUGCCCAAUAGCAUCCAAUCUCAGAAGCUAAGCAGGGCUGUAGCUAGUUAGUACUUGGACGGGAGACCAACUUGAAAGACCAGGGGCAGCUGUCC